GAUUAAGUUAUUAAGGGCGCACGGUGGAUGCCUUGGCACUAGAAGCCGAUGAAGGACGUUACUAACGACGAUAUGCUUUGGGUAGCUGUAAGUAAGCGUUGAUCCAGAGAUUUCCGAAUGGGGGAACCCAGCAUGAGUUAUGUCAUGUUAUCGACAUGUGAAUUCAUAGCAUGUCAGAAGGCAGACCCGGAGAACUGAAACAUCUUAGUACCCGGAGGAAGAGAAAGAAAAAUCGAUUCCCUGAGUAGCGGCGAGCGAAACGGGAAGAGCCCAAACCAACAAGCUUGCUUGUUGGGGUUGUAGGACACUCUAUACGGAGUUACAAAAGAACAUGUUAGACGAAUCAUCUGGAAAGAUGAAUCAAAGAAGGUAAUAAUCCUGUAGUCGAAAACAUAUUCUCUCUUGAGUGGAUCCUGAGUACGACGGAGCACGUGAAAUUCCGUCGGAAUCUGGGAGGACCAUCUCCUAAGGCUAAAUACUCUCUAGUGACCGAUAGUGAACCAGUACCGUGAGGGAAAGGUGAAAAGUACCCCGGAAGGGGAGUGAAAGAGAACUUGAAACCGUGUGCUUACAAGUAGUCAGAGCCCGUUAAUGGGUGAUGGCGUGCCUUUUGUAGAAUGAACCGGCGAGUUACGAUCUGAUGCAAGGUUAAGCAGCAAAUGUGGAGCCGCAGCGAAAGCGAGUCUGAAUAGGGCGUUGAGUAUUUGGUCGUAGACCCGAAACCAGGUGAUCUACCCUUGGUCAGGUUGAAGUUCAGGUAACACUGAAUGGAGGACCGAACCGACUUACGUUGAAAAGUGAGCGGAUGAACUGAGGGUAGCGGAGAAAUUCCAAUCGAACUUGGAGAUAGCUGGUUCUCUCCGAAAUAGCUUUAGGGCUAGCCUCAAGUGAUGAUUAUUGGAGGUAGAGCACUGUUUGGACGAGGGGCCCCUCUCGGGUUACCGAAUUCAGACAAACUCCGAAUGCCAAUUAAUUUAACUUGGGAGUCAGAACAUGGGUGAUAAGGUCCGUGUUCGAAAGGGAAACAGCCCAGACCACCAGCUAAGGUCCCAAAAUAUAUGUUAAGUGGAAAAGGAUGUGGCGUUGCCCAGACAACUAGGAUGUUGGCUUAGAAGCAGCCAUCAUUUAAAGAGUGCGUAAUAGCUCACUAGUCGAGUGACACUGCGCCGAAAAUGUACCGGGGCUAAACAUAUUACCGAAGCUGUGGAUUGUCCUUUGGACAAUGGUAGGAGAGCGUUCUAAGGGCGUCGAAGCAUGAUCGCAAGGACAUGUGGAGCGCUUAGAAGUGAGAAUGCCGGUGUGAGUAGCGAAAGACGGGUGAGAAUCCCGUCCACCGAUUGACUAAGGUUUCCAGAGGAAGGCUCGUCCGCUCUGGGUUAGUCGGGUCCUAAGCUGAGGCCGACAGGCGUAGGCGAUGGAUAACAGGUUGAUAUUCCUGUACCACCUA
rnacentral:rRNA from 1 species